rnacentral:rRNA from 1 species
AAGCUCGUAGUUGAAUUUCGGGAUCAGUAGGUUGGUCAUGCCUCUGGUAUGCACCGGCUUUACUGAUUCCUCCUUCUUGAUGAACUGUAAUGUCAUUAAUUUGGUGUUGCAGGGAAUCAGGACUGUUACUUUGAAAAAAUUAGAGUGUUUAAAGCAGGCAUACGCUUGAAUGCACUAGCAUGGAAUAAUGAAAUAGGACGUUUGAUCCUAUUUUGUUGGUUUCUAGGAUUGACGUAAUGAUUAAUAGGGAUAGUUGGGGGCAUUAGUAUUCAAUUGUCAGAGGUGAAAUUCUUGGAUUUAUUGAAGACUAACUACUGCGAAAGCAUUUGCCAAGGAUGUUUUCAUUAAUCAAGAACGAAAGUUAGGGGAUCGAAGACGAUCAGAUACCGUCGUAGUCUUAACCAUAAACUAUGCCGACUAGGGAUCGGAUGAUGUUAUUUUUAAUGACUCAUUCGGCGCCUUACGGGAAACCAAAGUGUUUGGGUUCCGGGGGGAGUAUGGUCGCAAGGCUGAAACUUAAAGGAAUUGACGGAAGGGCACCACCAGGGGUGGAGCCUGCGGCUUAAUUUGACUCAACACGGGGAAA